rnacentral:rRNA from 1 species
UGGGGAAUCUUGCGCAAUGGCCGAAAGGCUGACGCAGCGACGCCGCGUGUGGGAGGACGCCUUUCGGGGUGUAAACCACUGUUGCCCGGGACGAACAGCUUCUUUCGAGGAGCCUGACGGUACCGGGUGAGGAAGCACCGGCUAACUCCGUGCCAGCAGCCGCGGUAAUACGGAGGGUGCGAGCGUUGUCCGGAAUCAUUGGGCGUAAAGGGCGCGUAGGUGGCCCGGUCAGUUCGUGGUGAAAGCGCGGGGCUCAACUCCGCGUCGGCCAUGAAUACUGCUGGGCUUGAGCACUGUAGAGGCAGGCGGAAUUCCGGGUGUAGCGGUGGAAUGCGUAGAGAUCCGGAAGAACACCGGUGGCGAAGGCGGCCUGCUGGGCAGUGGCUGACACUGAGGCGCGACAGCGUGGGGAGCAAACAGGAUUAGAUACCCGUGUAGUCC